AUUCCAGCUCCAAUAGCGUAUAUUAAAGUUGUUGCAGUUAAAAAGCUCGUAGUUGGAUUUCUGGCAGGAGCGACCGGUCACACACUCUGUGUGUGAACUUGUGUUGUCUCUGGCCAUCCUUGGGGAGAUCCUGUUUGGCAUUAAGUUGUCGGGCAGGGGACAUCCAUCGUUUACUGUGAAAAAAUUAGAGUGUUUAAAGCAGGCUUAUGCCGUUGAAUAUAUUAGCAUGGAAUAAUAAGAUAGGACUUCGGAACUAUUUUGUUGGUUUGCGUUACGAAGUAAUGAUUAAUAGGGACAGUUGGGGGUAUUCGUAUUUCGUUGUCAGAGGUGAAAUUCUUGGAUUUCCGAAAGACGAACUACUGCGAAAGCAUUUACCAAGGAUGUUUUCAUUG
rnacentral:rRNA from 1 species